rnacentral:rRNA from 1 species
UAGAGUUUGAUCAUGGCUCAGGAUGAACGCUAGCGACAGGCUUAACACAUGCAAGUCGAGGGGCAGCGGGGCGGCAGGCUUGCCUGCCGUUGCCGGCGACCGGCGCACGGGUGAGUAACACGUAUGCAACCUGCCCGUGGCAGGGGGAUAAGCGGGGGAAACCCCGUCUAAUACCGCGUAACGCGGCCUAGGGACAUCCCAAGGCCGCCAAAGGGAGCAAUCCCGGCCACGGAUGGGCAUGCGGCGCAUUAGCUAGUCGGCGGGGUAACGGCCCACCGAGGCGACGAUGCGUAGGGGUUCUGAGAGGAAGGUCCCCCACACUGGUACUGAGACACGGACCAGACUCCUACGGGAGGCAGCAGUGAGGAAUAUUGGUCAAUGGGCGCGAGCCUGAACCAGCCAAGUCGCGUGAGGGAAGACGGUCCUAUGGAUUGUAAACCUCUUUUGUCGGGGAGCAAAAGACGCCACGUGUGGCGUUCCGAGAGUACCCGAAGAAAAAGCAUCGGCUAACUCCGUGCCAGCAGCCGCGGUAAUACGGAGGAUGCGAGCGUUAUCCGGAUUUAUUGGGUUUAAAGGGUGCGCAGGCGGAAGAUCAAGUCAGCGGUAAAAUUGAGAGGCUCAACCUCUUCGAGCCGUUGAAACUGGUUUUCUUGAGUGAGCGAGAAGUAUGCGGAAUGCGUGGUGUAGCGGUGAAAUGCAUAGAUAUCACGCAGAACUCCGAUUGCGAAGGCAGCAUACCGGCGCUCAACUGACGCUCAUGCACGAAAGUGUGGGUAUCGAACAGGAUUAGAUACCCUGGUAGUCCACACAGUAAACGAUGAAUACUAAUUGUUCGGGGAGAAUGAUCCCUGAGUGAUACAGCGAAAGCGUUAAGUAUUCCACCUGGGGAGUACGCCGGCAACGGUGAAACUCAAAGGAAUUGACGGGGGCCCGCACAAGCGGAGGAACAUGUGGUUUAAUUCGAUGAUACGCGAGGAACCUUACCCGGGCUCAAACGACACAGGAAUACUUUUGAAAGGAGGUAGCUCUACGGAGUCUGUGUCGAGGUGCUGCAUGGUUGUCGUCAGCUCGUGCCGUGAGGUGUCGGCUUAAGUGCCAUAACGAGCGCAACCCCCAUCGCCAGUUACCAGCAAGUCAAGUUGGGGACUCUGGCGAGACUGCCGGCGCAAGCUGUGAGGAAGGCGGGGAUGACGUCAAAUCAGCACGGCCCUUACGUCCGGGGCGACACACGUGUUACAAUGGCAGGUACAGAGAGAAGCAAUGCGGCGACGCAAAGCGGAACUUGAAAGCCUGUCUCAGUUCGGAUUGGAGUCUGCAACUCGACUCCAUGAAGCUGGAUUCGCUAGUAAUCGCGCAUCAGCCAUGGCGCGGUGAAUACGUUCCCGGGCCUUGUACACACCGCCCGUCAAGCCAUGGAAGCCGGGAGUGCCUGAAGUGAGCAACCGCAAGGAGCGCCCUAAGGUAAAACUGGUGACUGGGGCUAAGUCGUAACAAGGUAACCGUAA